UAUGCUCACUUUAGAUUAUUUUAGGAUGGAUGAAUAGGAAAUUGGUUUGUUUUUCAUAUCAAAUUGGAUUUUGACCUGCUUUUGUUUGUCUGCAUAGGGCUUCUUACACAUUGAUGAAUACCCUCUAGAUGUUAAUCAAGGAUUUGACAUUCCAUCAGCAAUAAUAAGCUUUCCUGACUUCCAUGCUGGUUUGCAAUUGUCUAAUAAAUCUCGAAGCAAGUCACCACUGUUGUCUAAGUUACAGGAAAAAAGUCUUCUUCUCUCUUACACAGAACUUUUACUUGUACCCUUGAUGACUCCUGAUUUCAGUAUGCCAUACAAUGUCAUCACAAUUUCAUGUACAGUUUUUGCUUUGUAUUUUGGAUCAUUGCUAAAUGUUCUCCGGAGAGGAGGAAAGACUUUUGAAAAACAAAGAUGCAAACAAAGUAGUGUUCCUUCACUGAGUGCUAUCUAAACUAUAUCUGCCAAGCUUAGAGGCAGACCGUUGGAAUCAAGUCUGCCCUCUCCCUCGUCAUCAUUCUUUGUUAGUCCAAAAUUGAUUCUUAGAGUACUACUGGUUGCAGGAAUUUGCCGUUACAUGGCAAUACUAUUCACAAUGAUAUCUUUCAACUAAGUAGUUUUACUUGUACUAUAGUCUAAUUGCAUGUAUUUUCAUGUACAAUACAAACCUUCCACUGCCCAAUGUGCCUUUACUUUCUGUUAAUAUAUCAUCUUGGUAUUCUUAUUCCACUUUUUAUAGUGGGCUCAUGAUAUUAGCUUUCUAAUUUAUGUAUGCAUGGUUUAAAACUGUUUUUCAGGAUGGUAGCACAACACUGUGAAGAGUUGAUUUAGUUAAGAGGAGCUUACUAUCAUAGAAGCUGAAUAUCCAAUGACUGAAAGUGAGUACGUAAGCCUAAUUGGCCUUCUAAAAUCAAGCACUUGCUCAGUCCUUCGAAUACUAGAGUACAAAGUAUGCUUAUUCUCUAGCUUUCCUUGAAUUUUCUUUAUUUUGUACAAGUAUACAGUUUUUCCUGUCUACUAGUUUAUAGUUUGAUAUUUAAAAUACUCUCAGUUUCCUUGGAUUUUCUUUAUUUUGUACAAACUUCCUGUAACAAGCUCUGUUUGGGAAAAUUUAUGCAAGUUUUCAAAAUAAAGGGGGGUUUUGUGAAGUAAUGGCAUAAAUUCAAGGGAGUUGGGACUUAGGAGUAAACUAUGAGUAAUUUGUAGAAAUUAGUUUUAGAGCAUUCUAAUAUAAAACCUUUCUUAUUAGCAUGUAAAUGUCCAGGUCCUUUUAACAUACAACAUUUGCUGGUUUGUGUUAGAAGUCUUUGUAUCACUUAUGUUUUUUAUUUUCAUUUUACUAACUUAACAGGAAGCCAAAAUCAUAUAUCUUUAAUUAUGGAGGCUUUUGGAGACAGUUUUGAAUCUCCACUAGCACAUUUCUUCCUUCAUCUUUUCUUUAUAUUUUUCCUCUUUCCUUUUUUCUCUCAAGUUUCUCAAUUUUUUUUCCUUUUCGACUUCUUCAGCAUACAUCUUGUCUCUGCCCCCUCUUCUCUAUGCCAACAUGUUAUGUGCUAGGUGAAGAAACAACCUUUCCUUCAACUCUUGUAUUUCACAUAUAUUUGGCACAGGAUACAAUCAUACAACUUCUCCUGUGGAUAUUGUGCCUUUUUUUUCCAGCAGGUUUAAAGAUACCCCAUCUAUACAAUUGGAAUAUCGAACACCUCUAGUUGAGCAUUCUAAUCUUUGCAGUGAAAUACUGGUAAAAAUUGUUUUUAUUCAUAAAUUUCUACUCAAUUUGGUUGCUCAGUUCACAUUUUAUGAAGUGAUAAU